rnacentral:rRNA from 1 species
GAUGAACGCUAGCGGCAGGCUUAACACAUGCAAGUCGAGGGGUAUAUAGGAGCUUGCUUUUAUUGAGACCGGCAAACGGGUGCGGAACACGUACGCAAUCUGCCCUUAUCUUGGGGAUAGCCCAUAGAAAUGUGGAUUAAUACCCAAUAGUAUAUUUGGAUGGCAUCAUUUAAAUAUUAAAGAACUUCGGAUAAGGAUGAGCGUGCGCAAGAUUAGCUAGAUGGUGAGGUAACGGCUCACCAUGGCAACGAUCUUUAGCUGGUGUGAGAGCAUGAUCAGCCACACGGGCACUGAGACACGGGCCCGACUCCUACGGGAGGCAGCAGUGAGGAAUAUUGGUCAAUGGACGGAAGUCUGAACCAGCCAUGCCGCGUGAAGGAUGAAGGCGUUCUGCGUUGUAAACUUCUUUUAUCAGGGAAGAAACCACAGAUUUCUAUUUGUGUUGACGGUACCUGAGGAAUAAGCACCGGCUAACUCCGUGCCAGCCGCCGCAGUAAAAC